GACUCUCGGCAACGGAUAUCUCGGCUCUCGCAUCGAUGAAGAACGUAGCUAAAUGCGAUACUUGGUGUGAAUUUCAGAAUCCCGCGAAUCAUCGAGUCUUUGAACGUUAGUUAAGUCGGCUAUUCUACCGAGGCACGCUCAGUCAAGUGUCA